CCUACGGGAGGCAGCAGUGGGGAAUAUUGCACAAUGGGGGAAACCCUGAUGCAGCGACGCCGCGUGAGUGAAGAAGUAUUUCGGUACGUAAAGCUCUAUCAGCAGGGAAGAAAAUGACGGUACCUGACUAAGAAGCCCCGGCUAACUACGUGCCAGCAGCCGCGGUAAUACGUAGGGGGCAAGCGUUAUCCGGAUUUACUGGGUGUAAAGGGAGCGUAGACGGCAGCGCAAGUCUGAAGUGAAAUCCCAUAGCUUAACCAUGGAACUGCUUUGGAAACUGUGCAGCUGGAGUACAGGAGAGGUAAGCGGAAUUCCUAGUGUAGCGGUGAAAUGCGUAGAUAUUAGGAGGAACACCAGUGGCGAAGGCGGCUUACUGGACUGUAACUGACGUUGAGGCUCGAAAGCGGGGGGAGCAAACAGGAUUAGAUACCCUGGUAGUC
rnacentral:rRNA from 1 species